CUGCUUUAAGAUGAGCUUAUGCAGGAUUAGGUUGUUGGUAGGGUAAAAGCCUACCAAGCCGAAGAUCCUUAGCUGGUUCGAGAGGACGGUCAGCCACAUUGGGACUGAGACAAGGCCCAAGCUUUUUAGCCAGCAGUGAGGAAUUUUGGACAAUGAGCGAAAGCUUGAUCCAGUAAUGUUGCGUGAAUGAGGAAAGCAAAAAAGAUUUAUGAAUUAAAUUUUGUAAAUCGGUUGUAAAGUUCUUUCGCUGAUGAAGAUAAUGACGUUAAUCAGAGAAGAAGCCCCGGCUAACUUCGUGCCAGCAGCCGCGGUAAUACGAAGGGGGCGAGCAUUAUCCGGAAUGAUUGGGCGUAAAGAGUUUGUAGGCGGUAUUAGCUGUUAUAAAUAAAAUUCUAGGUUUGUUGCUUAGAUCUGUUUGUAAUACUCUUUUACUUGAGUAUGGUAGAGGAUAGCAGAAUUUCAUGCAUAAGGGUAAAAUCUAAUCAUUUAUGAAAGAAUGUCAGUGGCGAAGGCGGCUAUCUGGACCAUUUACUGACGCUGAGGAACGAAAGCAUAGGGAGCAAACAGGAUUAGAUACCCUGGUAGUCUAUGCUGU
rnacentral:rRNA from 1 species